AAACAAUUCAGCAGCAACCUACCUCCAUUCAUUCUUUACUCACCUGUAUUUGUUAAAGUAGCAACCUUAUUUCAGUUCAUCUCAUACAAAUCAACAACAACAGCCAUCAACAACAAACAAUUACAGGUCAAGCGCAAGAGUAAGAACUACACAAGGAGUUAGAGUACCUUAGCAAAACUUUGCUAUCAGGUUGAGCUGUGAUGGGCGAUGAAGUAUUGCUGAGUGGAGUUUUUGUCGAACUUAAAGUAGGCUCAGAAAGGAUACAUGUCUUCAUACAUGUAUCUCAGUUAUGCAUUCCGCUGUAAACACUGAUUAUUUCAGUUACGCCUUCCGUUGCAAACUCUGAUAAUGUUUUAGCCAAGCCCCUAACGAUGCCUUUUUCCUUUUUAAGGAAUAUUUCACGCGUA